UGUCAUUGAAAGGAAAAGGGAUAGGAAACAAUUUAGUGACUAAAAUCCUCUAGUCACGAAACUAUAUCUGACUGGGUAAAUAACUCCUCUAUAUCUGACUGGGUAAAUAACUCCUCUAUAUCUGACUGGGUAAAUAACCCCUCUAUAUCUGACUGGGUUAAUAACUCCUCUAUAUCUGACUGGGUUAAUAACCCCUCUAUAUCUGACUGGGUUAAUAACUCCUCUAUAUCUGACUGGGUUAAUAACUCCUCUGACUGGGUAUCAAUCAACUAACUCUAUAUCUGACUGGGUUAAUAUAAUCUCUGACUGGGUUAAACUCUCUAUAUCUGACUGGGUGAAUAACUCAUCUGACUGGGUUAAUAACUCCUCUAUAUCUGACUGGGUAAAUAACUCCUCUAUAUCUGACUGGUGAUAACUCCUCUAUAUCUGACUGGUAAAUAACUCCUCUAUAUCUGACUGGGUUAAUAACCCUCAUAUCUGACUGGGUUAAUAACUCCUCUAUCUGACUGGGUUAUAACUCCUCUAUAUCUGACCGGGUUAAUAACUCCUAUAUCUGACUGGGUAAACUCCCUUCUAUAUUCUGACUGGGUAAAUAACUCCUCUAUAUCUGACUGGGUGUAACUCCUUAUAUCUGACUGGGUAAUAACUCCUCUAUACUGACUGGGUUAUAACUCCUCU
rnacentral:lncRNA from 1 species